CACUCACCCUCACGUAUAUCAAUAAGCCACAAUUUAAGUUAUAACAGUUGUAAUGAAUAUUUCAAUGGAUUUAAAUAGACCUAAUGUGGUUGAAUAACCAACACUGAAGGCAUGAAUAAUUAUGAAAGGGCGAAAUAUGUGUCAGCACUGUGGUCGCCACUAGUCAUAUAACGCUCCAUCAUAAAUCUGCUUGUUCAGUACACAACGAUAAGGUUUACUGCUUGUUCAGCUCAUUAGGUAUGGACACACCAUUGGUAGGCGGUAAUGCACGUCAUAGUUAGAAAACCCAGCGAUUGGCCUGUUACUUCCGAUUGACGUCAUAUCUAUGUUAAUGACGUUCACACUUAGAGUUCGACAGUGGAAUCUCAUCAGUCAGGAGAUCAGACAACAACCAGCUCCCGUUCUGUUCUGACGUUGCCCUGUUACAAGAAAAUAGUUUUAGCCGUACUGUCGUGAAAGGGAGAUCGCACUUGACGGUGACACUGAAGAUCGAGUCAUCAAUAAGCUGUCAACAGCCACCGUUGCAAGCGAGUUAUUGGACAUACAAAAGCUAUUAUAGGCAUCCCCACAGCAAGUUAUACUGUUUCCAUCAGUUUCAUUUUGUAGAUACACCAGUCGACAUAAGGAAGAGAAACCAUGCAGAUGUCCGUGUCACUUGUUGGUCACAGUCAACUUCCCAACAAUUUGAGAGUGAGGGGAGCGGAGGUUAGAACAUUUAGAGGUCCUGGAGGUAAAGCUUAUAAUUUUUGGAAUGAUGAGCGUAUGUGCUCUGUACUGAAUUGGGAACAUGACCUGUGUAUUUUAUGGAUAGGGUCUAAUGCCAUAGAUGAUGAUUCUGAAGUGCAAAGGGACAUAAAUCGUAAACUAAAGAGAGAAUUGUCAAAUGAUAGUUUCAUUCAGUUCAACAUGCCUGUAUAUGAAGAGCUGUUGAGCUCAGAUGGGAUACAUUGGACUUAUGAAGGGAAGCAGAUGAUUAAAAAGAAACUCAGAAAUGUCAUUCGGAGAUACUUGAACGGAGACGAUAGCUAGUAAAUACCUGAAAAGACUCCUGCUACAUUAAAGGGUUAAGUAAAAGAGAAAGUGUGAUUUAAAACCAACUGUUGCCUAGCAGGUUAUGUGUAUUUAGAUAUGAAAUAUAUGUAUAAGUAAUAUGCAAUCUUAAAAUUUAAGAAAAAAAAAAUACAUGAUAUAUGUACGUAUAUAUCUAUAUCUUUGUCACCACAAUUUUGUUAAGUGUUAACAAAUAUUAAUUAAUUAGUAUAGAUAUUUCAAAACUAUCAGAAAAAAAAACUGCGUGAUUUAUGUAUCUUUAUAUUCGUCACCGUGCACAGUUUUAUUGUGUCAACAAAUAUUAAUUAUUUGAUAUUCAGGAAAUAUAUGUAGGCAAUACGAAUUUCAACUAAAAUGAAAAAAAAAUAUAUAUAUAUAUGAUUUACGUAUGUGUCUAUUAUACCUUUGUCACCACAAUUUUUUUGAGUGCAAACGGAUGCUAAUUACUUGAUAUUGUGAAAAAAAAUAUAUGUAAGUAAUAUGCAUGUAAACUAUAAGAAACAACAAAA